GAUGAACGCUAGCGGCAGGCCUAAUACAUGCAAGUCGAACGGUGUCUUCGGUCUGGUGGCGAGUGGCGAACGGGUGAGUAAUGUAUCGGAACGUGCCCAGUCGUGGGGGAUAACGUAGUGAAAAUUACGCUAAUACCGCAUACGAUCUAUGGAUGGGAGCGGGGGAUCGCAAGACCUCGCGCGAUUGGAGCGGCCGAUAUCAGAUUAGGUAGUUGGUGGGGUAAAGGCCCACCAAGCCAACGAUCUGUAGCUGGUCUGAGAGGACGACCAGCCACACUGGAACUGAGACACGGUCCAGACUCCUACGGGAGGCAGCAGUGGGGAAUUUUGGACAAUGGGCGAAAGCCUGAUCCAGCCAUUCCGCGUGCAGGAUGAAGGCCCUCGGGUUGUAAACUGCUUUUGUACAGAACGAAAAGGUUUCUACUAAUACUAGGAGCUCAUGACGGUACUGUAAGAAUAAGCACCGGCUAACUACGUGCCAGCCGCCGCAGUAA
rnacentral:rRNA from 1 species